rnacentral:rRNA from 2 species
GAGCAGCAGUAGGGAAUCUUCUGCAAUGGACGAAAGUCUGACGGAGCAACGCCGCGUGAGUGAUGAAGGUUUUCGGAUCGUAAAGCUCUGUUGUUAGGGAAGAACAAGUGCAAGAGUAACUGCUUGCACCUUGACGGUACCUAACCAGAAAGCCACGGCUAACUACGUGCCAGCAGCCGCGGUAAUACGUAGGUGGCAAGCGUUGUCCGGAAUUAUUGGGCGUAAAGGGCUCGCAGGCGGUUUCUUAAGUCUGAUGUGAAAGCCCCCGGCUCAACCGGGGAGGGUCAUUGGAAACUGGGAAACUUGAGUGCAGAAGAGGAGAGUGGAAUUCCACGUGUAGCGGUGAAAUGCGUAGAGAUGUGGAGGAACACCAGUGGCGAAGGCGACUCUCUGGUCUGUAACUGACGCUGAGGAGCGAAAGCGUGGGGAGCGAACAGGAUUAGAUACCCUGGUAGUCCACGCCGUAAACGAUGAGUGCUAAGUGUUAGGGGGUUUCCGCCCCUUAGUGCUGCAGCUAACGCAUUAAGCACUCCGCCUGGGGAGUACGGUCGCAAGACUGAAACUCAAAGGAAUUGACGGGGGCCCGCACAAGCGGUGGAGCAUGUGGUUUAAUUCGAAGCAACGCGAAGAACCUUACCAGGUCUUGACAUCCUCUGACAACCCUAGAGA